rnacentral:rRNA from 1 species
UACGUAGGGCGCGAGCGUGUCCGGAAUUAUUGGGCGUAAAGAGCUCGUAGGCGGCCGGUUGCGUCUGCUGUGAAAUCCCGGGGCUUAACCCCGGGCGUGCAGUGGAUACGGGCCGGCUGGAGGCAGGCAGGGGAGAAUGGAAUUCCCGGUGUAGCGGUGAAAUGCGUAGAGAUCGGGAGGAACACCAGAGGCGAAGGCGGCGACCUGGACAAGCACUGACACUCAACUACGAAAGCGUGGGGAGCAAACAGG